GAUUAAAAAAAAAAAAAAAAAAAGCAAAUCGGUAUCGGCCAUGAAAAAUCAUGAUCGUGCAUCCCUAAUUACAAUUUACUUAAAGACAUUUGUAACUUUUUUUGCAAUUGUCAUUCUUUACUGUACAGGUCUGAGUGAACAAAAUAAUAAUAAUAAUAAUAAUAAUUUGGUCCAUUAAUGAACUGGAUUACUGUGAUCUCCGGUGACUGACUGAAAUGAGACUGUUGUAAAGACUGUGAUAACAAACAAUGGACAGUGAAUGCUAUUGGUGGGCUUUUUAAUUGACAGUUGAAACUACGAAUCAGUACAGCUUUAGCGUCAUCUGAAAGUAGUUCCGCCAAAGGAUAUAGAAGUGUGUUGCAUCAGAAAGUUUAGUGCGGAGCUAAUGAGUGUUCUCCAAAGUUUAUUUCAAGUGUGUGCGUGCAGCUAGAAAACCACACAUACCCACAUAUCUACAGUGGAGCAUAAAAAUUAAAGAAGAAACAUCAGAGUCAUUGCAUUCUAACCGGAUGUGCCAUAGUGAUUGCAAACCUUUACUAACAAGCCCCAAAUAAAUACCUCAAAACAGAGACCCUCGAGCAAGAACUGAACCCCAACUGUUCCUCAGCGCUGCAGGUCAGACUGAAGAAGCAAUGCCUGCACAGAAUAAAGCCCAGUCUGGACCGGUUCUGUUCAGUUGUGUUACACAUUCAUUAAUCUGGUGUUUGAUGACAGAGAGAUGAUAUGAACCAUCAAUAAACACUAUGAAUAUGUUCUGAUACAGCAGCACAGAACUAUUCUGUUGUGUCCCAUUAAUAAACACAAUGAAAACAGUUCUGUCUCGCUGGAUAAAAGAGAAAUGUUUGUGUAUUUUUGGUAUUAUUAACUGAAAUGAUUGGAUAUUGGGUUGUGUAUUUGACCUGCUGUAUGAGCAACAAGAAACACCCAUUAAAACUUUCAAAUGUUUAGAUCACACAACAACUAACCUUACAAGUAAAAUAUACAGUA